rnacentral:rRNA from 1 species
GUCGAGAAUCUUCCGCAAUGGACGCAAGUCUGACGGAGCGACGCCGCGUGCGGGAUGAAGGUCUUUGGAUUGUAAACCGCUGUCACGCGUUAAGAACGCGCGGGACCCAACACGUCCCGCGUUGACGAAGGCGCGAGAGGAAGCCACGGCUAACUCUGUGCCAGCAGCCGCGGUAAUACAGAGGUGGCAAGCGUUGCUCGGUGUCACUGGGCUUAAAGGGCGCGUAGGCUGUGCGGUACGGUUCGGGUGAAAUCCCUCGGCUCAACCGAGGAACCGCCUGGGCGACGGCCGCGCUAGGCAGCAUCAGGGGAAGAUGGAACUCCCGGUGGAGCGGUGAAAUGCGUAGAUAUCGGGAGGAACGCCGGUGGCGAAAGCGAUCUUCUGGGGUGCAUGCGACGCUGAGGCGCGAAAGCUAGGGGAGCAAACGGGAUUAGAAACCCGUGUAGUCC